rnacentral:rRNA from 1 species
GAUGAACGCUGGCGGCGUGCCUAAUACAUGCAAGUCGAGCGAACGGACGAGAAGCUUGCUUCUCUGAUGUUAGCGGCGGACGGGUGAGUAACACGUGGAUAACCUACCUAUAAGACUGGGAUAACUUCGGGAAACCGGAGCUAAUACCGGAUGAUAUUUUGAACCGCAUGGUUCAAAAGUGAAAGACGGUCUUGCUGUCACUUAUAGAUGGAUCCGCGCUGCAUUAGCUAGUUGGUAAGGUAACGGCUUACCAAGGCAACGAUGCAUAGCCGACCUGAGAGGGUGAUCGGCCACACUGGAACUGAGACACGGUCCAGACUCCUACGGGAGGCAGCAGUAGGGAAUCUUCCGCAAAGGGCGAAAGCCUGACGGAGCAACGCCGCGUGAGUGAUGAAGGUCUUCGGAUCGUAAAACUCUGUUAUUAGGGAAGAACAUAUGUGUAAGUAACUGUGCACAUCUUGACGGUACCUAAUAAGAAAGCCACGGCUAACUACGUG